UACGUAGGGGGCGAGCGUUGUCCGGAGUUACUGGGCGUAAAGCGUGCGUAGGUGGUGAGUUAAGUCUGAUGUGAAAUCCCCGGGCUCAACCUGGGAAUGGCAUUGGAUACUGGCUCGCUAGAGUGCGGUAGAGGGUGGUGGAAUUCCCGGUGUAGCAGUGAAAUGCGUAGAGAUCGGGAGGAACAUCUGUGGCGAAGGCGGCCACCUGGACCAACACUGACACUGAGGCACGAAAGCGUGGGGAGCAAACAGG
rnacentral:rRNA from 1 species